UGCUUGCUUUGAUGAUUUUCUGGUUUGCCCAGAGCUUUCCAUUUAGAUUAUAGUUGUUUGCAGGUUUUGAGAUGUUUCCUGACUUUCGGUGAGGUUUUCCAUUUUGGACCUUUUAGCUUGGUUAUUUUUGUUGGGACUGCCAGAUGCGAAGCUUUUAACAGAAUAGAUGUCAGAGUUUUAAUGUUCUCUGAGGUUGUUUUGUCUUCCCUUAUGUCUGUUAGUUUUUCUGAGAUAGUAUCCCGGUACAGUUGUUCAUCAAUCUCAUUCCAUUUCAGUCUUUGAACAGUCUUUUUAUUUUGAUUAGAGAAUUUUUCAAGCAGAGGGACAGCAAUAUUGGUGAUC
rnacentral:lncRNA from 1 species